rnacentral:rRNA from 1 species
UACGAAGGGGGCUAGCGUUGCUCGGAAUCACUGGGCGUAAAGGGUGCGUAGGCGGGUCUUUAAGUCAGAGGUGAAAUCCCAAGGCUCAACCUUGGAACUGCCUUUGAUACUGGGGAUCUUGAGUCCGGGAGAGGUGAGUGGAACUGCGAGUGUAGAGGUGAAAUUCGUAGAUAUUCGCAAGAACACCAGUGGCGAAGGCGGCUCACUGGCCCGGUACUGACGCUGAGGUGCGAAAGCGUGGGGAGCGAACAGGAUUAGA